rnacentral:rRNA from 1 species
UACAGAGGUCUCAAGCGUUGUUCGGAUUCAUUGGGCGUAAAGGGUGUGUAGGUGGCGCCGUAAGUCGGGUGUGAAAUUUCGGAGCUUAACUCCGAAACUGCAUUCGAUACUGCGGUGCUUGAGGACUGGAGAGGAGACUGGAAUUCAUGGUGUAGCGGUGAAAUGCGUAGAUAUCGAUAAGGAAGACCAGUGGCGAAGGCGGGUCUCUGGACAGUUCCUGACGCUGAGGCACGAAGGCCAGGGGAGCAAACGGG